rnacentral:rRNA from 1 species
AUAACAGUUAGAAAUGACUGCUAAUACCGCAUAAGCGCACAGUACCGCAUGGUACGGUGUGAAAAACUCCGGUGGUAUAAGAUGGACCCGCGUCUGAUUAGCCAGUUGGCGGGGUAACGGCCCACCAAAGCGACGAUCAGUAGCCGACCUGAGAGGGUGACCGGCCACAUUGGGACUGAGACACGGCCCAAACUCCUACGGGAGGCAGCAGUGGGGAAUAUUGCACAAUGGGGGAAACCCUGAUGCAGCAACGCCGCGUGAGUGAAGAAGUAUUUCGGUAUGUAAAGCUCUAUCAGCAGGGAAGAAGAUGACGGUACCUGAUCAAGAAGCCCCGGCUAACUACGUGCCAGCAGCCGCGGUAAUACGUAGGGGGCAAGCGUUAUCCGGAUUUACUGGGUGUAAAGGGAGCGCAGACGGCAGUGCAAGUCUGGAGUGAAAGCCCGGGGCCCAACCCCGGAACUGCUCUGGAAACUGUGCGGCUAGAGUACUGGAGGGGCAGGCGGAAUUCCUAGUGUAGCGGUGAAAUGCGUAGAUAUUAGGAGGAACACCAGUGGCGAAGGCGGCCUGCUGGACAGUAACUGACGUUGAGGCUCGAAAGCGUGGAGAGCAAACAGGAUUAGAUACCCUGGUAGUCCACGCCGUAAACGAUGAAUGCUAGGUGUCGGGGAGCAAAGCUUCCCGGUG